rnacentral:rRNA from 3 species
AAAUGACUCUCGGCAACGGAUAUCUAGGCUCUUGCAUCGAUGAAGAACGUAGCGAAAUGCGAUACUUGGUGUGAAUUGCAGAAUCCCGUGAACCAUCGAGUCUUUGAACGCAAGUUGCGCCUGAAGCCAUUAGGUUGAGGGCACGCCUGCCUGGGUGUCACAC